CCUACGGGUGGCAGCAGUGGGGAAUAUUGCACAAUGGGGGAAACCCUGAUGCAGCGACGCCGCGUGAAGGAAGAAGUAUUUCGGUAUGUAAACUUCUAUCAGCAGGGAAGAAAAUGACGGUACCUAACUAAGAAGCCCCGGCUAACUACGUGCCAGCAGCCGCGGUAAUACGUAGGGGGCAAGCGUUAUCCGGAUUUACUGGGUGUAAAGGGAGCGUAGGCGGUUUAGCAAGUCAGAAGUGAAAGCCCAGGGCUCAACUCCGGGACUGCUUUUGAAACUGUUGAACUAGAGUGCAGGAGAGGGAAGUGGAAUUCCUAGUGUAGCGGUGAAAUGCGUAGAUAUUAGGAGGAACACCAGUGGCGAAGGCGGCUGACUGGACUGUAAAUGACGCUGAGGCUCGAAAGCGUGGGGAGCAAACAGGAUUAGAUACCCUGGUAGUC
rnacentral:rRNA from 1 species